rnacentral:rRNA from 1 species
GACGAACGCUGGCGGCGUGGAUUAGGCAUGCAAGUCGAACGGUAUCAUCCUUUCGGGGGUGAGAGAGUGGCGAACUGGUGAGUAACACGUAGGUUAUCUACCCUCAAGACGGGGACAACCCAGGGAAACUUGGGCUAAUACCGGAUGUGAGCAACUUUUAGUUGUUUGAAAGGUGGCGUAAGCUGUCGCUUGGGGAUGAGCCUGCGUCCUAUUAGUUAGUUGGUGAGGUAACGGCUCACCUAGGCAAUGAUAGGUAGGCGGCCUUAACGGGUGGUCGCCCACACUGGGAUUGAGAUACGGCCCAGACUCCUACGGGAGGCAGCAGUCGAGAAUAGUCUACAAUGGUCGGAAGACUGAUAGUGCGACGCCGCGUGAACGAUGAAUCCCUUCGGGGUGUAAAGUUCUUUUAUAUGUGAGCAGUGCUUCUUAUAUUAACAGUAUGGGGAGAGAGAUAUUAGCAUAUGAAUAAGCAACGGCUAACUCCAAUGCCAGCAGCCGCGGUAAACUCG